rnacentral:rRNA from 1 species
AGAGUUUGAUCCUGGCUCAGGACGAACGCUGGCGGCGUGCCUAAUACAUGCAAGUCGAGCGGACAGAUGGGAGCUUGCUCCCUGAUGUUAGCGGCGGACGGGUGAGUAACACGUGGGUAACCUGCCUGUAAGACUGGGAUAACUCCGGGAAACCGGGGCUAAUACCGGAUGGUUGUUUGAACCGCAUGGUUCAAACAUAAAAGGUGGCUUCGGCUACCACUUACAGAUGGACCCGCGGCGCAUUAGCUAGUUGGUGAGGUAAUGGCUCACCAAGGCAACGAUGCGUAGCCGACCUGAGAGGGUGAUCGGCCACACUGGGACUGAGACACGGCCCAGACUCCUACGGGAGGCAGCAGUAGGGAAUCUUCCGCAAUGGACGAAAGUCUGACGGAGCAACGCCGCGUGAGUGAUGAAGGUUUUCGGAUCGUAAAGCUCUGUUGUUAGGGAAGAACAAGUACCGUUCGAAUAGGGCGGUACCUUGACGGGACCUAACCAGAAAGCCACGGCUAACUACGUGCCAGCAGCCGCGGGUAAU